rnacentral:tRNA from 1 species
GUUAAUGUAGCUUAAACUUAAAGCAAGGCACUGAAAAUGCCUAGAUGAGUCUACUGACCCCAUGAACA